UAAUAAUAAUAAUAAUAAAUAAUGAUAAAUGGUAUGGCUUAUGGUUCAUCACCAAUAGUGGAACCACAUUUUGAUCCUGCAUCCGAGUUGCCAGAACUUUCAGGUACCCAUGCAGCAGGGAUUUCCCAUCUCUGGAAUAAAGAGCAGGAGGAGGAUGAUCACUGCACAAGCAGCCGGGGGGCCUCACAGGCUCCUACGUCUUGGGAGUGUACAGAGAGAAGGAAAGGAAUCCAUGGACUCGCCCCUACUGCUCUGUGAAGGACUGACUGAGUUCGGGAAGCUUCCACAAGCGUCCAGGCAGCCCCUCAGCUCUUCACAGCAGGAAGCGGAUGUGCAGACAGCCGUAGCUCAUUGUCGCAGCCUGGCAUGUUUCAUUAGUGGUUUCACAAUCCACAUGCUGGCCCUCUCUUCCUCUCUGCCUGCGGGGGACACUGGGGAGCCCUUCUGAGACAUCUCUUCUCUGGCAUUUCCUUCACUCCCUGCUGCACCCUGGAUGCCUGCUCACAGCUUGGUCCAGAUUUCUAGAGCUGCUUUUAAAGGGUAGGUGCCACCCAGUGUUGCUCCCUGUAAUUCCCAGGUCACCUUGCAGCCACAGUGAGCUUGUGCCCACUCUACAGACGAUAAUAAUAAUAGUAACAAUGAUGAUAGGAAACACUUGCUUACCACUAAUUAAAUAUGAGGGUCUGUACUAAGCGGGUGUCCCUGAAUGAUCUCAUUUCAAGAUCUCCGGAGUCACAGAGGCAGCCUGUUUCCAGAGAGAGUAACUGAGGCACGGAGAGAGGAUGAGGAAAUGAAGCUGGGAGGCGGUGACUAGCUUGGUGUUCCUUACAAAUGGGAGGCGGUGGCUGGAAUAGGCCAGGCUGGCCUGACUCAGAGUCCAGCUCUAACUUCUGUCACUGGAUUUAAACCGACAUUCUAGAGUUUUAAUUUUCCCUGAGCAGACACUUCCACACGUGCUGGACACAUUUGGAGGUGGACAGAGAUGAGGCAAAAUUAAACUUCUUCGAACUGAGUCUGGUUGCUCUGGGUAGAGGAUCUUGCAAAACUGCCUUGCUUUGCUGAGAGAGACUUCGGUGAUGAAAGACAAAUAUUCUGCCGUCUAAAUCAGGUGCAGGAAGUCCCGCGCUGUGAAUUGUGCUGCUUAGAAAUAUUGCUAGUUAUUGGGUUGCUUUUACCAUUUGGUAAGGAAUUUAAAUCCCCCAUCAAAUAAAUGAACUGCUAUUAGUUUA